GGUUCAAGUCCCUCUAUCCCCAAAAG
rnacentral:tRNA from 1 species